rnacentral:lncRNA from 1 species
GGCAGUGCAAUGGCUGUGCUCAGUGGUUGUGCUCAGUGACGGUAGUGGUGGAGCGUUUCCUCUGCACCUCCGCCAUGGCCGCCGCCUUUGAAUGAGAUUGACAAAACCAAAGUUUAUCAAUACACACCCAAAGACCUCCUCCGUCUCUUGCCUCGCAGCUGCCAACGACUUCAACGACCGCCGUCAAACGACUAGCCGGUCGUGAAGCUUGAAGCACCAUCUUCUCCGUCCUCCUUGCUCUGCUCCCUGCAAAUUUCUCUACCC